CUACAGGCUUAACACAUGCAAGUCGAGGGGCAGCAUGGUCUUAGCUUGCUAAGGCCGAUGGCGACCGGCGCACGGGUGAGUAACACGUAUCCAACCUGCCGUCUACUCUUGGACAGCCUUCUGAAAGGAAGAUUAAUACAAGAUGGCAUCAUGAGUCCGCAUGUUCACAUGAUUAAAGGUAUUCCGGUAGACGAUGGGGAUGCGUUCCAUUAGAUAGUAGGCGGGGUAACGGCCCACCUAGUCUUCGAUGGAUAGGGGUUCUGAGAGGAAGGUCCCCCACAUUGGAACUGAGACACGGUCCAAACUCCUACGGGAGGCAGCAGUGAGGAAUAUUGGUCAAUGGGCGAGAGCCUGAACCAGCCAAGUAGCGUGAAGGAUGACUGCCCUAUGGGUUGUAAACUUCUUUUAUAAAGGAAUAAAGUCGGGUAUGCAUACCCGUUUGCAUGUACUUUAUGAAUAAGGAUCGGCUAACUCCGUGCCAGCAGCCGCGGUAAUACGGAGGAUCCGAGCGUUAUCCGGAUUUAUUGGGUUUAAAGGGAGCGUAGAUGGAUGUUUAAGUCAGUUGUGAAAGUUUGCGGCUCAACCGUAAAAUUGCAGUUGAUACUGGAUAUCUUGAGUGCAGUUGAGGCAGGCGGAAUUCGUGGUGUAGCGGUGAAAUGCUUAGAUAUCACGAAGAACUCCGAUUGCGAAGGCAGCCUGCUAAGCUGCAACUGACAUUGAGGCUCGAAAGUGUGGGUAUCAAACAGGAUUAGAUACCCUGGUAGCCCACACGGUAAACGAUGAAUACUCGCUGUUUGCGAUAUACGGCAAGCGGCCAAGCGAAAGCGUUAAGUAUUCCACCUGGGGAGUACGCCGGCAACGGUGAAACUCAAAGGAAUUGACGGGGGCCCGCACAAGCGGAGGAACAUGUGGUUUAAUUCGAUGAUACGCGAGGAACCUUACCCGGGCUUAAAUUGCAGAUGAAUUACGGUGAAAGCCGUAAGCCGCAAGGCAUCUGUGAAGGUGCUGCAUGGUUGUCGUCAGCUCGUGCCGUGAGGUGUCGGCUUAAGUGCCAUAACGAGCGCAACCCUUGUUGUCAGUUACUAACAGGUUCCGCUGAGGACUCUGACAAGACUGCCAUCGUAAGAUGUGAGGAAGGUGGGGAUGACGUCAAAUCAGCACGGCCCUUACGUCCGGGGCUACACACGUGUUACAAUGGGGGGUACAGAGGGCCGCUACCACGCGAGUGGAUGCCAAUCCCCAAAACCUCUCUCAGUUCGGACUGGAGUCUGCAACCCGACUCCACGAAGCUGGAUUCGCUAGUAAUCGCGCAUCAGCCACGGCGCGGUGAAUACGUUCCCGGGCCUUGUACACACCGCCCGUCAAGCCAUGGGAGCCGGGGGUACCUGAAGUGCGUAACCGCGAGGAGCGCCCUAGGGUAAAACUGGUGACUGGGGCUAAGUCGU
rnacentral:rRNA from 1 species